rnacentral:rRNA from 1 species
CGCGUAUCCAACCUGCCCAUCACUUGGGGAUAACCUUGCGAAAGUAAGACUAAUACCCAAUGAUAUCUCUAGAAGACAUCUGAAAGAGAUUAAAGAUUUAUCGGUGAUGGAUGGGGAUGCGUCUGAUUAGCUUGUUGGCGGGGUAACGGCCCACCAAGGCGACGAUCAGUAGGGGUUCUGAGAGGAAGGUCCCCCACAUUGGAACUGAGACACGGUCCAA